UUCUAAUCGUCGUAAUAGUAUCAGUUUUGCACUUUUGAUCGCGUAAUAUUAUAACGUGUUUCACAGUGAAAUGUAGUUCCAUAAAAUAGAAGCACAAUCGAGCACAAGUUGACAAGGAUAAUAAGCAAACCAGAAACUUAACAGUUAACCAACAUACAGUUCAGCUCGUUUCAUCUAGAAUUUCAUUAAUUAUUUGAAAUCCUGUUUGAAGAAGAUAUCAAAUCAUGUUUCGAUACCGGAAAUAUAACCAAAAGAGGUCGAUUUGGAAAUACAGGACGUAGCUUCAGUUCAUGAUAAUGUGUAUGCAGUAUGUGCAGGGUACUCCGCCCAUCUACGUCCUAACCGGGCUUCAACAUUUGGUGCGAUGGAAUUGUGAUAAUAAUUAUCCGAACAUCGUCGAACCAGUGCAGCGUGAAAAUUAAUCUUUCAAAGUAAUAACGUUCAUCUACCAUUCUAUCGCUACUAAUGAUAAUUAUUCAACUUCAACUGUGCAGGUGUCAUCUAUGGUCCCUGUGCCGUCUUUCAAGGCUGAGCCGCACAAUGGACACGAUUUAGUAUUAAAGGCCGCUGACUUUUGGUCAAAUAUCGCGACGUCAACCACCAUGAAUCGCAACGCCGCCCACGUUUCAGCAAACAGACCUAAGAUUCCCCCACACAUUCCAGAAAUUAGUUUCCACAACUGACGCUUCAGAUGCUUUUCUCUUUCUAUUGAGUUGGUAACUAAGUGAUUGCGGAUUUUGUCAAUACCACCUAUUGACAAAAUCCGCAAUCACUUAGUUGCCAACCCAAUAGUACCACCAGCACAUGUUUCUUUCAAGCGUUAUUUUUCAGAAGCGAAUUAGUUGUCGCUGCACCGAUGAAGAUUAAUAGUUGGUUUCUCUGGCAAUCCAGCAACUGUAGACGCUGGCCAUUUUUCAGAAGAGAUAGUUUAAUUGGUAGAUCGGAUUGCUAGAUGCACGCGUUUCCUCUUCUUCAUGGUCGUUUUGCCGUCCUAUGUCUGAGAACUCGACAUGCUACCUCAAUUAAUUUUGUUUCAUUUUUACCGUACAUGGAAUGCGUUUUUUAAGAAGCAUACAGUUACACCACAUGCGCGUUAAAUAACUUCUUCAAUGAUUAGCUGCUAAAAGAAAGAAUUCAUCACGAAGAAUUACCGAGAUCCUUAAUUAUCGGAUCUCAUCGAUACCGAGGACAACUAAUUUCCCAUAAUUCAAUAUUUCCUAUAACGAGUGAAGAACGAAAGUGCCUCUGACAUGUUUCAUUAAUCCAUCACGUUCCAUUAAUUAAUCACUUUGAUACCAUGUGGCUCGGGGUUCUUAGCUCGCUAUCUACACCUAUUCGUUAAGUAAAAUACGCUCGUUAGCUAGGCUGGAAAUUCGUUUAUCGAUUGAUUAUCGUCGAUAGUGGAUUACCAGACGAUUCUUAUGAGAUCCAUCGGGGGAUGCCUGACGCCUUUGCCAGCGGCUCGACAGCCAACAUCGUUAAAAUUUAAAUGUGUAAUCGAGCAUUGGUGACUCGAAAUCCACUAAGACUGUGAAAGAUAUGAAUUCGAUGGAGAUCGCCUAACUAACUUAUACAGAGAAUUAAUCUCAGAUUUCUUUCUUCCUCGCCUGAAGAAGAGACCUGGAAGAAUAUAUAAUGCCGCUUUUUAUGAGCAUACAUCUUUUAUGUAGGGCAGUUUCCUCAGAAAUGAUCCUCGUAUCUUGUACACGAAGCGACGGCUGGAUCGCAUUAAAUUUGAUACUUUACCUUCGUCACAAGAGUCAUUAGCAGUAGUGUGGGAGGAACUAAUUAGCGUGCUAGUAGGUUUGCUAACGGUAUGAUUUAUUUCAAUAUCGUUCACGCCAACACAAAAUCAAACAUGAUGCUCCGUCAGUCUAUAUGCACGCAGUCAUCAUUCGUCACUAACUCCUCUCGUCACAACGGCUCUCUUUCACGCUGACCACACUCCUCGGCAACGCUGACAACACCACUCCCAAUGCGGACAACAUUCUCCGACCACGCUGGCAACACUAAAGCUUCGCAGCUCACUCACGGCUACCUUUUAUACCUGGCCCGCACAUGUCCCAUGGUCAAGUAGAUCUUCUUAAUUACACAAGGUCUUUCCCCGAUACUACACUGUAUACCUGACACGCUACAGAUGUUUCUGAAUUUGAACAACUCGAUUGCUCUUUCUAAUAUGCAUUACAUAAAUUCUAAGCUUAAGGUGAUUCGCUACAUAUACGGAGUUAUUCAAAUUAGUUUGAUCCAUCAAGAUCAUAAAUCUUCCAGUUGAAAUGAAACACAAGUUGUUCGAGAUUUGUCUGGUUGCCUUGCUUUAAUAUAAAGUUGGUCCAACGCUAUUCUCGUAACUGGGACUUGAUUUUAUCACUGGCGACUGUGAUAUUGCUUUUAAUCGCUCGACAGCUUCGUGUUUAUCGUAUCAUAUCGUGGAUUAUGGGCUCCAUUUUUCACAAAUCUGCAUAGAAAAAAGCCUAACGAUGUCGAAUCAUGUCACCUUC